rnacentral:rRNA from 1 species
CAAUAGCGUAUAUUAAAGUUGUUGCAGUUAAAAAGCUCGUAGUUGGAUUUGUGGUGUACUUUGGCGGCCCGUCACUAUGUGAUGGAGCUUGCUGAAGUCGCCAUCCUUGGGUGGAUCCUGUGUGGCAUUAAGUUGUCGUGCAGGGGAUGCCCAUCGUUUACUGUGAAAAAAUUAGAGUGUUCAAAGCAGGCUUAUGCCGUUGAAUAUAUUAGCAUGGAAUAAUAAGAUAGGACCUUGGUACUAUUUUGUUGGUUUGCGCACCAAGGUAAUGAUUAAUAGGGACAGUUGGGGGUAUUCGUAUUUCAUUGUCAGAGGUGAAAUUCUUGGAUUUUUGAAAGACGAACUACUGCGAAAGCAUUUACCAAGGAUGUUUUCAUUAA